rnacentral:rRNA from 1 species
GACGAACGCUGGCGGCGUGCUUAACACAUGCAAGUCGAACGGUAAGGCCCUUCGGGGUACACGAGUGGCGAACGGGUGAGUAACACGUGGGUGAUCUGCCCUGCACUUCGGGAUAAGCCUGGGAAACUGGGUCUAAUACCGGAUAGGACUCCGGACUGCAUGGUCUGGGGUGGAAAGCUUCUGCGGUGUGGGAUGGGCCCGCGGCCUAUCAGCUUGUUGGUGGGGUGAUGGCCUACCAAGGCGACGACGGGUAGCCGGCCUGAGAGGGUGACCGGCCACACUGGGACUGAGAUACGGCCCAGACUCCUACGGGAGGCAGCAGUGGGGAAUAUUGCACAAUGGGCGCAAGCCUGAUGCAGCGACGCCGCGUGAGGGAUGACGGCCUUCGGGUUGUAAACCUCUUUCAGCACAGACGAAGCGCAAGUGACGGUAUGUGCAGAAGAAGGACCGGCCAACUACGUGCCAGCAGCCGCCGUAA